rnacentral:rRNA from 1 species
UGGGGAAUAUUGCACAAUGGGCGCAAGCCUGAUGCAGCCAUGCCGCGUGUGUGAAGAAGGCCUUCGGGUUGUAAAGCACUUUCAGCGAGGAGGAAGGUGGUGAGCUUAAUACGCUCAUCAAUUGACGUUACUCGCAGAAGAAGCACCGGCUAACUCCGUGCCAGCAGCCGCGGUAAUACGGAGGGUGCAAGCGUUAAUCGGAAUUACUGGGCGUAAAGCGCACGCAGGCGGUUUGUUAAGUCAGAUGUGAAAUCCCCGGGCUCAACCUGGGAACUGCAUUUGAAACUGGCAAGCUAGAGUCUCGUAGAGGGGGGUAGAAUUCCAGGUGUAGCGGUGAAAUGCGUAGAGAUCUGGAGGAAUACCGGUGGCGAAGGCGGCCCCCUGGACGAAGACUGACGCUCAGGUGCGAAAGCGUGGGGCAGCAAACAGGAUUAGAUACCCUGGUAGUCCACGCUGUAAAACGAUGUCGAUUUGGAGGUUGUGCCCUUGAGGCGUGGCUUCCGGAGCUAACGCGUUAAAUCGACCGCCUGGGGAGUACGGCCGCAAGGUUAAAACUCAAAUGAAUUGAC